ensembl:snRNA U6 U6 spliceosomal RNA
UGCUGCUUACUCAGACAGCACAUAUGAACAAUUUGAAUGAUACAGAGAAGAUUAGUAUGGCUCCUACGAAAGGAUGACACGCAAAUUCGUGAAUCAGGCUCCUUAGAU